rnacentral:rRNA from 1 species
UACGGGGGGGGCAAGCGUUGUUCGGAAUUACUGGGCGUAAAGGGCUCGUAGGUGGCCAAUUAAGUCAGGCGUGAAAUCCCCAGGCUCAACUUGGGAACUGCGUCUGAUACUGGUUGGCUUGAAUUCGGGAGAGGGAUGCAGAACUCCAGGUGUAGCGGUGAAAUGCGUAGAUAUCUGGAGGAAUACCGGUGGCGAAGGCGGCAUCCUGGACCAAUAUUGACGCUGAGGAGCGAAAGCCAGGGGAGCAAACGGG